rnacentral:tRNA from 1 species
AAAUAUGAAGCAAUAAAUUGCAUUUAAUUUCGACUUAAAAAUUAGAGUUAAUCUCUCCUUAUUUU